GCGCUCGUAGUUCAACUGGAUAGAAUAUCAGAUUUCGGCUCUGAGGGUUGAGGGUUCGAAUCCUUCCGAGCGCA
rnacentral:tRNA from 3 species